AUCUCUCCACUUUUUGCUUUCUGAAACUUAUUCGAUUCUUUUUUUUUUUUUUAUGAUCGUGAUUCUGUUGCUCCUUUUCGGGUUCAGAGGAGGGGAAGAGUGUUUCUCGUCACUUCUCCUUGUCGUCGUAUGGCCUUGCUCGCAGAUCAAGAAGCUUUUUCGAUUUCGUUUGAGUUACUUUCAGAUUUAACCAAUUUUCUUCCCGUUUGAGGAAGGAAAACUAGGGAUUUAAUCUAGAAGGGAAAUUAGGAGGUUAUAUCGUCGGAUGACAAAUGCAAUCUAAGAAAUGGAAGAGGAAAUGUGAUGGGUUACUAGGUGGGAAAGGUGAUUGAAGAAAAAGAUGACAGUUGCAGGGAUGGAAAAAGAUGAAGACAAG
rnacentral:lncRNA from 1 species